CGAACNUGGNCGGCAGGCUUAACACAUGCAAGUCGAGCGGACCUUUCGGGGUCAGCGGCGGACGGGUGAGUAACGCGUGGGAACGUGCCUUCCGGUUCGGAAUAACCCUGGGAAACUAGGGCUAAUACCGGAUACGCCCUUAUGGGGAAAGGUUUACUGCCGGAAGAUCGGCCCGCGUCUGAUUAGCUAGUUGGUGGGGUAACGGCCUACCAAGGCGACGAUCAGUAGCUGGUCUGAGAGGAUGAUCAGCCACACUGGGACUGAGACACGGCCCAGACUCCUACGGGAGGCAGCAGUGGGGAAUAUUGGACAAUGGGCGCAAGCUGAUCCAGCCAUGCCGCGUGAGUGAUGAAGGCCUUAGGGUUGUAAAGCUCUUUUAUCCGGGACGAUAAUGACGGUACCGGAGGAAUAAGCCCCGGCUAACUUCGUGCCAGCAGCCGCGGUAAUACGAAGGGGGCUAGCGUUGCUCGGAAUCACUGGGCGUAAAGGGCGCGUAGGCGGCGUUUUAAGUCGGGGGUGAAAGCCUGUG
rnacentral:rRNA from 1 species